rnacentral:rRNA from 1 species
UGGGGAAUAUUGGACAAUGGGCGAAAGCCUGAUCCAGCCAUGCCGCGUGUGUGAAGAAGGUCUUCGGAUUGUAAAGCACUUUAAGUUGGGAGGAAGGGCAUUAACCUAAUACGUUAGUGUUUUGACGUUACCGACAGAAUAAGCACCGGCUAACUCUGUGCCAGCAGCCGCGGUAAUACAGAGGGUGCAAGCGUUAAUCGGAAUUACUGGGCGUAAAGCGCGCGUAGGUGGUUUGUUAAGUUGGAUGUGAAAUCCCCGGGCUCAACCUGGGAACUGCAUUCAAAACUGACUGACUAGAGUAUGGUAGAGGGUGGUGGAAUUCCCUGUGUAGCGGUGAAAUGCGUAGAUAUAGGAAGGAACACCAGUGGCGAAGGCGACCACCUGGACUAAUACUGACACUGAGGUGCGAAAGCGUGGGGAGCAAACA